UGUUUCAUUUGGGGAUAAAGUACUUGUUAAAAUAAAAUAUAUUGAAACUGAGACAUAAUGAUACAAUUUACAUUGGAAUAUUUCGAACAAGCUGCAUCUUCACAAGGUGAGUCAUAUGUUAGUGCAGAUCCCAAUUCUUGAACAGUGAUCAGUCUUCUCUUGAAUAGUUCCAUUUGAAAAAUGUCAACAUAUAAUCAAUUAGAAAGAUCCUGCGUACAGUAAAAAAAAAUGUUACAAGUUUAAUUUGUAUCGGAAAACUCAUCAUACAUCGGCUUGAAACUUAUAAUGAUUUGUGGAGCUACUAAAGGCUGAUUUUACAAAUAAAUAAAAAAAAAUAUAUAAUACAGACACUGAUUCUACCGUUGCGAAGCGUAACUCACAAACUACUUAAGUGGUUUGUGGCGUUACUGAUGAACAAACAGGAUCAAAUUUUGACAUUGUGUCUGUCAAGAAGCCAAUUUCCGGAAUGAUAGUUCCAUUUUAGAGCAGGAUUGUUUGUUUAUUUCUGGAUCUACUACAAUACGAUAUCAUUGGAAACUACUGUCAAUUGUCAAUUACUCCUUCCCUAAACCAUAAUAGUACUUGAAAAGAGUUGAAUACCAAAAUAAAAAUAUUCUGUGAACAGGUGAAUGCAACUUGAACUGUAAUUUGAAUUUAGUAUUUGUUGUGUGGUGUUCGGCUUAUUUGUAACAUAAUGACUUCAACAAAUUUCAAUAUUGGUUUGACCGACAAUGCCCGCAACUCCAGCAGAGUAUUGAGACCUCCCGGAGGUGGCCACACAGAUAUUUUUGGAAGCGCAGCAGACCCGCAAGUCAAAAAAGACAAUGGCCGUAAUGCUUCUUCGAUUCUAGAAGGUACUAAUGCUAAAACAGUGCCCCCUAGCCCUGUGAAAACUCCCACAGGACCUCCGCAGCUAGGUAGUGAACCUGCAGCCCCACAACCAUCUCGCACCAAUAGAGUACCUCCUGGUGGAUUCUCUUCAGGGCUGUGGUAAACUUUUCGGUAGA